rnacentral:rRNA from 1 species
GGUGAGUAACACGUGGAUAACCUACCUAUAAGACUGGGAUAACUUCGGGAAACCGGAGCUAAUACCGGAUAAUAUUUUGAACCGCAUGGUUCAAAAGUGAAAGACGGUCUUGCUGUCACUUAUAGAUGGAUCCGCGCUGCAUUAGCUAGUUGGUAAGGUAACGGCUUACCAAGGCAACGAUGCAUAGCCGACCUGAGAGGGUGAUCGGCCACACUGGGACUGAGACACGGCCCAG